rnacentral:piRNA from 1 species
AUUGCUGAUGUGACGGGUUUUGACGAGAG